CCUACGGGAGGCAGCAGUGGGGAAUAUUGCACAAUGGGGGAAACCCUGAUGCAGCGACGCCGCGUGAGUGAAGAAGUAUUUCGGUAUGUAAAGCUCUAUCAGCAGGGAAGAAAAAAGACGGUACCUGACUAAGAAGCCCCGGCUAACUACGUGCCAGCAGCCGCGGUAAUACGUAGGGGGCAAGCGUUAUCCGGAUUUACUGGGUGUAAAGGGAGCGUAGACGGCGCGGCAAGUCUGAAGUGAAAGGCAGGGGCUUAACCCCUGAACUGCUUUGGAAACUGUAAGUCUUGAGUGAAGUAGAGGUAGGCGGAAGUCCCGGUGUAGCGGUGAAAGGCGUAGAGAUUGGGAGGAACACCAGUGGCGAAGGCGGCCUACUGGGCUUUAACUGACGCUGAGGCACGAAAGCGUGGGUAGCAAACAGGAUUAGAUACCCUGGUAGUC
rnacentral:rRNA from 1 species